rnacentral:rRNA from 1 species
UACGUAGGGGGCAAGCGUUGUCCGGAAUCAUUGGGCGUAAAGAGCGUGUAGGCGGCCCGAUAAGUCCGCUGUGAAAGUCCAGGGCUCAACCCUGGAAUGCCAGUGGAAACUGUCGGGCUGGAGUCCGGAAGAGGCGAGUGGAAUUCCUGGUGUAGCGGUGAAAUGCGCAGAUAUCAGGAGGAACACCAAUGGCGAAGGCAGCUCGCUGGGACGGUACUGACGCUGAGACGCGAAAGCGUGGGGAGCGAACAGG